rnacentral:rRNA from 1 species
CACCAGCCCCUCGAGUGGUGGGGAUGAUUAUUUGGCCUAAAGCGUCCGUAGCCGGCCGGGUAAGUUUCCCGUUAAAUCCAGCGUCUCAAGCGUUGGACUGCGGGAAAUACUGCCUGGCUAGAGAGUGGGAGAGGUCAGCGGUAUUCUGAGGGUAGGGGCGAAAUCCUUUGAUCCCCGGAGGACCACCAGUGGCGAAGGCUGCUGACUAGAACACGUCUGACGGUCAGGGACGAAAGCUGGGGUAGCGAACCGGAUUAGAUACCCGGGUAGUCCCAGCCGUAAACGAUGCAUGCUAGGUGUUGGGUUGGCCACGAGCCACCCCAGUGCCGCAGGGAAGCCGUUAAGCAUGCCGCCUGGGAAGUACGAUCGCAAGAUUGAAACUUAAAGGAAUUGGCGGGGAGCACCACCAGGCGCGAAGCCUGCGGUUU